ACCUGUAACGGGUCUUUACCAGAAGCCUCGCCGUCAUCCCCAUACACCUCCCUUUUCCCAUGCCACAGCAGGAGCCCAGUUCGAGCCCCGCGGCGUCCUUUGCAUUUUAUGCAACGCGUCCACUCACCCGGGUAACCAGUGAUGCUGGAGGGACUUAAGCGAUGAAUGCAACCUUGACGAGGGAAGAAAUUCUGCAGUCGGGCAUUUACCGUGGGGCGGCGGUGCUGGAUUACUCUCGUUGUUUGGUUGGGGGGUGUGUGGUGGGCUGGUGUGGGCGACUGGUAUUU
rnacentral:SRP_RNA from 1 species